UUCUCUUGAAAAAGCCCCAAUUUAACCCAAAAAUCACGCCUUUUCUUUGCAAAUAUCCCCCACUUAACACAAAAUCAUGCUGUUCUCUAUGAAAAUCCCCAUCUAAAAAGAAAAUCAUGCAUUUUCGCUUGGAAAAUCCCCCAUUUAAGUGAAAAUCACGCAUUUUGGCUUUGAAAACCCCCAAUUUAACCCAAAAUGAAUUAUUUUCUCUUCGAAAUUCCCCAUUUAACGCGAAAAUCACACAUUUUCCCUUCAAAAAUACCCCUUUAAACAAAACUCACACCAUUUUCUCUAUGAGAAUCCCUGAUUUAAACUGAAAAUCACGCACAUUCUCUUCAAAAAUAGCUGUUUAACCCCGAAAAUCACGCGUUUUCUCUGCUAGAAUCACCCUUAACCCGAAAAUCAUGCACUGUCUCUUCAACAAUCCCCCAUUUAACCCCAAAAUCAUGCAUUAUCUCUUCAAAAAUACCCCAUUUAAACAAAAAUCACACAUUUUCUCUUCAAAAAUCCCCCUUUAUCCCCAAAAUCACACAAUUUCUCUUGCAAAGUCCCCCAUUCUACCCGAAAAUCUUGCCUUUUGUCUUCCCGAAAAUCAUGCACUGUCUCUUCAACAAUCCCCCAUUUACCCCAAAAUCAUGCAUUAUCUCUUCAAAUACCCUUUAAAAAUCACCUUUCUCUCAAAAUCC
rnacentral:lncRNA from 7 species